UAGGGAAUCUUCCGCAAUGGGCGAAAGCCUGACGGAGCAACGCCGCGUGAGUGAUGAAGGUCUUCGGAUCGUAAAACUCUGUUAUUAGGGAAGAACAAAUGUGUAAGUAACUAUGCACGUCUUGACGGUACCUAAUCAGAAAGCCACGGCUAACUACGUGCCAGCAGCCGCGGUAAUACGUAGGUGGCAAGCGUUAUCCGGAAUUAUUGGGCGUAAAGCGCGCGUAGGCGGUUUUUUAAGUCUGAAGUGAAAGCCCACGGCUCAACCGUGGAGGGUCAUUGGAAACUGGAAAACUUGAGUGCAGAAGAGGAAAGUGGAAUUCCAUGUGUAGCGGUGAAAUGCGCAGAGAUAUGGAGGAACACCAGUGGCGAAGGCGACUUUCUGGUCUGUAACUGACGCUGAUGUGCGAAAGCGGGGGGAUCAAACAGG
rnacentral:rRNA from 1 species